rnacentral:rRNA from 1 species
GUGGGGAAUAUUGGACAAUGGGCGCAAGCCUGAUCCAGCCAUGCCGCGUGAGUGAUGAAGGCCUUAGGGUUGUAAAGCUCUUUCAGUGGGGACGAUAAUGACGGUACCCACAGAAGAAGCCCCGGCUAACUUCGUGCCAGCAGCCGCGGUAAUACGAAGGGAGCUAGCGUUGUUCGGAAUUACUGGGCGUAAAGCGCAUGUAGGCGGAUAUUUAAGUCAGGGGUGAAAUCCCGCAGCUCAACUGCGGAACUGCCUUUGAUACUGGGUAUCUUGAGUAUGGAAGAGGUGAGUGGAAUUCCGAGUGUAGAGGUGAAAUUCGUAGAUAUUCGGAGGAACACCAGUGGCGAAGGCGGCUCACUGGUCCAUUACUGACGCUGAGGUGCGAAAGCGUGGGGAGCAAACAGGAUUAGAAACCCGUGUAGUCC